GAAGGCACAUGAUGUUAAUAAUCUUAUGCUUACUCACUGAAUAGUAAUGUAGACCACAACUCCGCUUAUUAUCUGAUGCCUUC